AGGAGAACACCAUUCAGAGUGAAUAUCGCGACACCAACAUCAUGGAAGUCGUGAUAUCCCUAAAGGUGUUGAAGUGAAGAAAUUAAGUCCAUUUCCAGUGGUAUCACGGCACCAAGGGAUGGUAUCGCGACACUGAAACCUUGAAGACCCUAAUUUAGCUACUGUUUUUGGGUAUUGCGACAAUGAAGGUUGGGUGUCGCGAUACAUCUGAUGGGUGAAAAACUGCAGGGGCAAUAUUGUGUUCAAACAAGCUUAAGUCUUUUUUUUUCAUUUAAGGGAAUGAUGGUUAAUGUUAGGUUAAAUGUUAGUAUACUAUAAAUACUACUUUAUAAGCCUUGGAAGAUAAUUUUUAUUAGUUGAACAUUUCUCCUUUGUGUUUCAUAGUUUUAGGUUAGGUUUUCUUUUCUUUUUAUUUUUAGAUUAGGUUUAGAAUAUAUUUUAUUUUUGUUGUUUCCUAUUUGUUCUUUUAUUGUCGAAGACUAUGCAAAAGAAAGAUGAUCAAACUCUUGGGCUUUAUUGAAUUUCCA
rnacentral:lncRNA from 1 species